UACGGGGGGGGCAAGCGUUGUUCGGAAUUACUGGGCGUAAAGGGUUCGUAGGCGGCCUGCUAAGUCAGACGUGAAAUCCCUCAGCUCAACUGGGGAACUGCGUCUGAGACUGGCAGGCUUGAGUGCAGGAGAGGAACGCGGAAUUCCAGGUGUAGCGGUGAAAUGCGUAGAUAUCUGGAGGAACACCGGUGGCGAAGGCGGCGUUCUGGACUGUUACUGACACUGAGGAACGAAAGCCAGGGGAGCAAACGGG
rnacentral:rRNA from 1 species